GAAUGAAUUUAAGAGUUGGUUGUUGCUGGCCUCCCUUCCCGAGGCAUGUGCACACCUUCUCUUUCAUCCACACACACACCUGUGCACUUGUGAGAUGUGGAGGGCUGGAAAUUUUUAUUCUCAACCCUUCCAUCUGCUAUUACACAAACUCAAUUUAAUUUAAACUGAAUGUAAUUGAUGUAACACAUCUAAUAUAUACUAAGUUUCAACAACGGAUCUCUUGGCUCUCGCAUCGAUGAAGAACGCAGCGAAAUGCGAUAAGUAAUGUGAAUUGCAGAAUUCAGUGAAUCAUCGAAUCUUUGAACGCAUCUUGCGCUCCUUGGUAUUCCUUGGAGCAUGCCUGUUUGAGUAUCAUGAAAUUCUCAAAGUAAAUUCUUUUGUUAAUUCAAUUUGGUUUACUUUGGAUUUGGAGGCUUUGCAGAUUUUUUACAAUCUCUGCUCCUCUUGAAUGUAUUAGCUGGAUCUCAGUAUAUACUUGGUUCCACUCAGUGUGAUAAGUAUCACUCGCUGAGCAAGGAAUACAGAUGAACCGCUCCUAAUAGUCUAUUAAAAGAUCUGAUCUCAAAUCAGGUAGGAUUACCCGCUGAACUUAAGCAUA
rnacentral:rRNA from 1 species